AGCCUCUUGGUAUUUAACACAGCUGUGUUCUUACACUGACUGUGUAGAAAGAGAAAGGAAUAAACCUACCCACCCCCGCCCCCAGGCAUUUCAACCAGGCCCCAUGCUUCGUCUGGAUUGUGAAUAGGGAAACAUGG
ensembl:snoRNA